UCUUAUGAAUAAGCAAAUAAAGUGGUUUCCUGAGAUGGAAUCUACUCAUGGUGAAGAUGUUGUGAA
rnacentral:pre_miRNA from 1 species